rnacentral:rRNA from 1 species
AUGUUGGGUGAUUUCCAAGAUGCGAUGAUAAUCCCAGAAGAAGUUGUGCGGCGUUUCAAAGGUGGGAUCCCAAGAGAGAUCAAGCUAGAAACCCGAAAUGCUUACAGUUACACUAUUGUGGUUACCAAGAACCAAGAAAAGCUUGUCCUUACAGCGGGGUGGCGGCAAUUCAUUGAAAACUAUGAUCUACAGAUUGGUGAUUCCUUAAUGUUCAGAUGCAAAGAGGACUCUCAGUUUAUUGUCAUGAUCUUUGAUAAGCUUAGUCGCGAAAAAGCAUUAUCGGUUGUUCUGGAUCCUUUUUGGCAUGGGGUCCAAACUUCACUUGAAAUAACAAAGUUCGGUUAA